rnacentral:rRNA from 1 species
GAGCGUAGGUGGCUCGAUAAGUCAGAUGUGAAAUCCCCGGGCUCAACCUGGGAACUGCAUCUGAUACUGUUGAGCUAGAGUAUGUGAGAGGAAGGUAGAAUUCCAGGUGUAGCGGUGAAAUGCGUAGAGAUCUGGAGGAAUACCGAUGGCGAAGGCAGCCUUCUGGCAUAAUACUGACACUGAGGCUCGAAAGCGUGGGUAGCAAACAGGAUUAGAUACCCUGGUAGUCCACGCCGUAAACGAUGUCUACUAGUCGUUGGGUCCCUUGAGGACUUAGUGACGCAGCUAACGCAAUAAGUAGACCGCCUGGGGAGUACGGCCGCAAGGUUAAAACUCAAAUGAAUUGACGGGGGCCCGCACAAGCGGUGGAGCAUGUGGUUUAAUUCGAUGCAACGCGAAGAACCUUACCUGGUCUUGACAUAUCUAGAAUCCUGCAGAGAUGCGGGAGUGCCUUCGGGAAUUAGAAUACAGGUGCUGCAUGGCUGUCGUCAGCUCGUGUCGUGAGAUGUUGGGUUAAGUCCCGCAACGAGCGCAACCCUUGUCCUUAGUUACCAGCGGGUUAAGCCGGGAACUCUAAGGAUACUGCCAGUGACAAACUGGAGGAAGGCGGGGACGACGUCAAGUCAUCAUGGCCCUUACGACCAGGGCUACACACGUGCUACAAUGGUAGGUACAGAGGGCAGCUACACAGCGAUGUGAUGCGAAUCUCAAAAAGCCUAUCGUAGUCCAGAUUGGAGUCUGCAACUCGACUCCNUGAAGUAGGAAUCGCUAGUAAUCGCGGAUCAGAAUGCCGCGGUGAAUACGUUCCCGGGCCUUGUACACACCGCCCGUCACACCAUGGGAGUUGAUUGCACCAGAAGUGGAUAGCUUAACCUUCGGG